UUUAAAACAGAUUUCGGAUGCAACACAAAUCCAAGCUGAAAUGCAGAGCACAGAGAGAGAGAGAAAGAAAAUAUGCAUUCAAAUUUCAUUUUCUGAUGAGCUGACUGCAGAAACACAGCUAUGGCAUCUCCAGGCAAAGAGAGCAUCCCACGUGAUCGAAGUCCUCUCUGCAAAUGAAAAGGCUCUGCUGUUUCGCACGCCUGGAAUCACAGCCUGGAAUCACAAUGCAUGUGUGACCCUUCUCACCUUCAAAUGUGGAGGAUUCAUCAGUGGCAAUGGUGGUGGCGAGAUGGAUUUCUUGUCAACAGACCUGGGAGGACGUGCUUUAAUUAAAAGAGAGCAGUGCCUCUUGAAGGCUGAAAGUAAGGGUGUGUGUCUGUUUAAAAAAACACAGUGCGGUACAAUAUAAUGAGACGUUUG
ensembl:lncRNA